ACACUUAAUACAUUUUUAAAUCAAUCACUUUGUCUCUGCACAAUGAACAUUAUCAAAUAUUAUUAAUGUUGUAAAAUAUAUUGUUCAUUGUUAGUUCAUAUUAGCUAAGGCAUUACCAAAUGUUAAGGAAUAAACUCUUAUAGUAAAGUGUUACUAAAUUUUCUUUUACCAUUUCCUUCACAAUGUCUAUUUAUUUCUAUGGCUAACAGAUUUUGUAACAUUUGUCUUUUUUACAGUCUUACCAUUGCUUGUAAGCUGGAUUGGGUAAGAUGGAUCAUCUUUAAAGGCACCAGGAGUUAAGGCAGAUGUGGAGGCACAACGGGUGAUACCAGACACACACCAAGCACAUUAUGUUUGGACAUUCAAUCAUGACAUGAUCCAGGUGGAUGCUGUCCAUUGAGGAAAGAGUUUGUUCAGCGGUUUCUGGAUAGAAUUAAUUCCAAAGAUGGGAAAAAGUGCACAUGCAGACAAGGAGCAAGCAAAAAGACAAGGAACUUGGUGCAGAGAAAAGCUGUGGCCAUUAACCCCUGUGAACAGCUUCAUGCAGUCCCUGAUUGAGUUCGAAUGGACUUCUUCAAAGUAAAGGCCACUGUGGUCUGUCUGCCACAGUUUAAUUUUUAAUUUAUUUUUAGUGUUCAAUGAAAUUCAAGUAGAAUAUUUAAAACUAUGGGCCAGUGUUGUUUUUACCACGGUGAAAUGUUACCUUUUAGUCGAUGAUGGACUUUAAACUGAAAACUUCAAACUAUGGAACAGUGUUCUAUUUGCCAGAGUUAAAUAUGUUACAGCAGGGGUCUCCAAACUUGUUUAUACUUGUUGAUUUUAUUUUAUGUUACUUGAUUAUAUGUUUAUUAUUGUUUAAAAUCUUGUUUUAAAUAUGUUUGUUUCAAUUAAAUGUUUUUUUUAAUAAAAUUUUGAUACAAACAUUGCUUGGAUUGCCUUUUAAUUCAUUAUGUUUUAAUUUAGCAUUUUUACCAUAUUAAUAACUAUAGAUUUAAACCUAAAUCUC